UACAGAGGGUGCGAGCGUUGUCCGGAAUCACUGGGCGUAAAGGGCGCGUAGGUGGCGCCCCAAGUCGAUGGUGAAAGCUCGCCGCUCAACGGCGAGUCGGCCACCGAUACUGGGGCGCUUGAGCACUGUAGAGGCUAAUGGAAUUCCGGGUGUAGCGGUGGAAUGCGUAGAGAUCCGGAAGAACACCGGUGGCGAAGGCGGGUUGCUGGGCUGACACUGACGCUGAGGCGCGAAAGCUAGGGGAGCGAACGGG
rnacentral:rRNA from 1 species